CGAGCUUCUGAGCUGGUGCCUGUGGAUGCUCGACGGUCCCGCAGCUCCCACAAUGGGAUGGCCAAGCAGACCCUGAGAUCCACAGCCCCCCUUUAGUGAAACAGGAGGGAGGUCGCUGGGCACAGGGAGCCGGGAACGCCUGCCCUCCCCGCCAUCGACGGCUCCCGAGGCCUGAACCUUCGCUCCAGCCCCAGCACAAGCCGGCCAGGGCGCAGGGCCAAGUGUUGCCCGCCAUUCCCCGGGUACCCCAUGACCUCCCAGCUGGGGCUGGCUCGGACUGAGGAGUCGUCCCUGCCCGUCACCCUCUGGGGUCUCCAGUGCUGCGGAGCUCAGCUGGCUUUUGCAGCGAUUUGGGGGAGUCUCUCCCGCGGGAUGAGGGGGGGCUCUCCGCCGCACCCGCCUAUGAUGGCCCAGAGGACCCGAGCUCGGGUCACUCCCGUCGCCCUCGGGGCUCGGCGAGGGUGCAGGAGGCGGGCGCUGAGCCGGUGACGCGACUCCGGGCGGCUCCCGGGUGCGCCGCAUAUAUAGCAGCGGCGGCGGUGGCGGCGGCCACACCGGGCGGCGGACACGUGGAGGGACCCGGCCCGCGCCUUCUGCCCCUGCUGCCGGCCGCGCCAUGCGGUGAGCGCCCCAGGCCGCCAGAGCC
rnacentral:lncRNA from 1 species